GUUAUAUAGGAUAGCGGCCCACGUUCAUGUUCAUUGAGUUCUGAUGAAACACCAGGACUAACACCAGUCUCACUGCCACUGGAAGUAGAGGGCUGUUGUUAACCAACAACACACCCCUUGAACAACGACACUAAAUAGUCUGGAUGGAUAUCAUUACAAGACUACAUGGUUGUUGGUUUUUACAUUGCAAUAUGCCAGACGACUCUGGAAUAAGUUCAUAAAAUUCCAUUAAAAAUUUGUCUUGGUUUUGUUUGUGACAGAAUCGUUCAUAAAUUGGCUGCAUAUGGUUCUAUAGAGGAUCGUUCGAUGAUAUACUCGCCAUAUUUGCAGUCAUUUCUUCGUCCCAGAAACCAUCCUUCGUUAUUUUUGCAUUUAUUUUUUCUACAAUAGAGGGUAGCUCUUCUUUUGUCAGUUUAGCUACUGAUGAAAGCACGUUCUUGUUUCCAUGUGCGGUUUUGUUCUUGUGUUUUGCGUUUAUAUGUCUAGUCAACCCUCCCUUCCACUUACAAAUCUUCUCGCAGCUAUUGCAAGGGAACGACUUUUCGGCGGAUAUUUCGCUUAUAGCAUCAUCAAUCUCUUCUUCCAACGGUUCUUCGUUUCCUUCGCUACAG